AAUAACGAUAUUCGUUGGGGUGUGGAGGAGCGGGGAUAUCGCCGGCGAUAUACCUGUACUAGGUUAAUUAAUAAGAACACCACGACUAAAACUGCAAGUUUUAAACUGGUUUAAUAUUUAUCGAAGUUGACAGUGCGCGGUGAAGGACCGGUGCAUACACGCGUGCGAAAUAUGUCGUUCGGUGUGCCUUGUGUCCCCGACUGAUCCACGUACAAGUGCACGGGACACAUCGCCGUGUGUAUGGGUGCGGUGCAACAGUUGGCAACAUUGUUGUCUCUCCUCCGCAUACCGCAGUGUGAUAUUCGAGAAGACGAAGAUGAAAGAGAAGGAGGAUAAGAAGAACAAGAGGACGAGGUGAGGAGCGCAUGAAAAUAAUCAUCGGUUAAUUACGGCUUCCCAUGAUCACGUUGGUUUACCGAAGAGGAGCCCUCGCGCGUUGAAGGGUGCAGUAAACGAGAAUAAGAAAAACGAGUAUGGUUACAGAGGAAGAUAAAGGGGAGGGAGCAGCCGAAGAAGAAGAAUAAGAAAAAAGAAAAAAAAAGGAGGAAGAACGAAGAAGAGGAGAAUGAGAACAAAAAUCGUGGGUAUCCGCGGAGAGAGAUGCUCCGGAGCAUCCCGCAGGAGCAGCUCGGGAGCAGUAAUAAUAAUAUCGGUGCAUCAGGGGAGAAAAUAAUGUCGACCGUAUAGCGGUGCUACGUGGUAGUUUGAGAAGAAGAGAGGUGAAACCGAAAGACCGCGAAGAGAAAGAGGGAGAAGAAAAAACGAGAUGAACC